AUUGUGAGCUUGCUGUUGUUCGUCUGAGUGUGCCAUGUGAUUGGCUGGCAACCAGUUCAGAGUGUACAUUGCCUGUUGCCCGAUGACAGUUGGGAAAGACUCCAGCACGCCCGCCACCCUGAGGAUAAUCAGUUCGGAUCAUGGAUGGAUGGGUUUAACUCGAAUGCAAAAUAGUGUUUUUUUCUACUGUUGUACUUACUACACCCGUGCAGUAGGCGGCGCUGUGAAAUUCAGGGACACGAUUCGACUUGAUUUAAAGUAGUUUCUAGCUUGGUUUUGUUUGAGUCGCCAGAGGUCUUGAAGUUUUGUUUGAUAUUUCAAGCGAGUAAUAACAUUUUCGCUUAUUGGUAAUGUUUGCAAAGCCCAGUAAAGCACAUUUAGCAUCGCGCUAGCGACUGUUUUUAACAGUCGAAGAAGAAAACGAACAAGAGAAGAAGAAGGCGCAGAAGAUUCCUCCUUGGAAGCAUGGCGCGGAGCAUGUACAUCCACGAAGAGCUCAACGCUAACAGACUGUACCAGAAAAGUAAGUAUCUUACAUUUCGUGCAAAUUAAUGAAUUAAUAGCCAUCCCAAUGAUUAUAGCAAUCACUACCCAUCUGACUCAUUCCCAAAGUCUGGGGAAGAUUAGACACGGCAAUAAUGAUGAGGGUUUGGGG